rnacentral:tRNA from 1 species
GGGAGUGUAGCUCAGUGGCAGGGCUCUUGCUUAGCAUGUGCAGGACCUUGGGUUCGAGCCCCAGUAUUACCA